AUCCUGUUGAACUCGAUGAGAACGACAAGGAUCCGAUCACCUUCGUGGAUGCCAUGCAAAGGUCCGACUCUGAGAAAUGACUUGAAGCCAUAAUCUAAGAUAGAGUUUAUGGAGAUCAAUAGUGAAUGGACACUUGUUGAUCCACCCGAAGAGAUUAAAUUCAUAGGGUAUAAAUAGAUUUUUAAAAGAAAAAGGAGCAUAAAUAGGAAGGU
rnacentral:lncRNA from 1 species